AUUGUUACCUUAAUACCAAACAAUUCGCAAACAAGUAAGAUAGAUUUCGCCCAUCUACAAUACCAAUUGUAAGUGUAAGUUCAUGAAACUAAAAGAGUUAGAUAUAGGGUUAUAUAUACCAAGUGAUCAGGGUGAGGAGUAGAGUUGAAUGGAAUUCGGAUGUCUGUCUGUCCGUCAAUGCAAGCAAUGACUUGAGUAAAAAUUGUUAUAUGUACAUAUCUUAAUGAAACUUGGUACACAUUAAAUCGGCGAAGAACUAAUAAGGUGCAAGUUAACGCCACCAAUACCUAACAGCACUUAGGUAUAAAGUAAACAAUAAAUAAAUUACAUAUAUUAAGCAAAUUUGUCAAAUAGGUCAUUGACACAUCGACAAUUAGGAAGCGGUCAUCAGCGAUGACUAAUGACACGCUUAAGAAUGUAAGAUGAAGUUUUGUAUGUAAAUAAUGGUAUAAAAGGAUGUUCAAUAGAGAAGUUUCAGUUUAGUUUUACGAACUCACUAGAAUCAAGCGUGUCGUUAUUCUUUUCAAAAACCCACCCGCGAAGCAUAAAAAAUAAUUGUCGGAUCUACCAGGAGCUACAAGGAACUCCUAUGGACCAAGAUAUUUUAAACGAUUCUGUUUAGAAACAAAAGCAAACAAGUAGCGCGAAAUCGCGAUAACGCCAAAAAAACGCAAUCAAUAUAUUUUAGGGCAAAUGCAAAAUAGUGGCGUACAUAUGAGUUACGGGAAAAAACAAACAAAAUAAAUUACAAAAAUUUGCAAACAUGAUUCAAAACUAAAUUUUAAUUGAAAACGUGAUACAUCACAAACAGUUUGUUGAAAUAUUGAACAAUCAACUUGCAAAAUAAAGGUAUAAAGUAAUAAUUUAUGGAUACUUGGCAAAAAGAACAACAUCAUUAAGUAAGCGAGCAAAAACAAAUUAACAGAUAACAUAAUCAAAAUACUGUGUUAAUCCGACUAGAGCACUAAUUUAAUUGAAGACAAAGUAACAGUAAACAAACGGAAGAGCAAUAACAGAGACAACAACUUCAACAACAACAAGUUAGUUGUAAGUAAUUAUUAUAUAUACAGUAGAUAUCGGUUAUAUGACGAAUCGCUUUUAUGCAAAUUUUGGUUAUAUGCAAAAUUUUCAUAUUUCAACGCAUUAUUCACGGCUUUAUAUAUGAAUUUGGUUGUUUGAAUGCAAAUCGUUUAUUGGCAAAUAUCCCAUUUAUGCAAACAAUUUUCAGCAAAAUUAAAGUCGUUACCUACAAAUUUUAAUCUGUUUUAAGCAAAUUUGCCAACACUGAAACCAUGAAUAUUUUCUAUCGAUUUAUCGAUUGGAAAAUAUCCCUGCAAGACGAGUAGAGUUACUUAUCUUAUGGAAUAUUGGUUACCAGUAAAGAAAGCUUGUAUUAUUUUUUUGGUCUCUUGUCGGUGUGAUUAUCUUUCUCGCUCUCUCUCAUUGAUUUUGGUGCCAAUGCUGCAUAUGUCUUUCUGCUCUAAUUUUUCUUUGUUUUGGAAAAGCAUAGUCACUCUGUGGUUAGCAGAGCCCCCUGUAGUAGUUUUUUUUUUUAAUCAGCCAUCUAUCAGUGGAGACUGUUUGAUUUAUCAUUGGUCAUUUGUUGGGUCACCGUUUCGUUACUUAAAUUUGGUUCAUUGGUCUCCAUUGGUUUUCAUUCUAUAGGUCACCUACUUCUCCGUUUAAAAAUUAAAAAUUGAAAUUGUUUUAUAUUUAUUUGUAUUUAAUUAAUUGUAUGAGGUAUUUACAUUUAAAAAUUAGUAAGGUAUUUUACAUAUUUAAAAAUUAUUAAAGAUUAAUUUUUAAAUAUCAGCAUUUCAGUAGAAAGUAAACUUUCAUUUUUACAAUCGUUUUUACGGCUAUCAUUUAUACAUGGACAAAAUUUCUCAAAAGUUUUAAGUAUUGUUUUUUUUUUUUGUGUUGUUAUACAAUACAAAUUAAAUUUCACUAUUAUUACAAUUGUUACAUAUAUUCGUACAUUCAUUUGUAUAUAGAUUCUAAUUUAACAAUAUUUUACAUUUAUAUUAAUAAAUUGAAUGCUAUUGCUUACGUUCAAAAUUUAUAAAUUAACAAUCGCAAUAUUGAAAAUGAUAAAUUGUAAGUUCAGCCUAAUAACGCUUCCAUAAUCAAAUCAGAAGCAAGAUGAACAACUUCGGCGCCUCAAUGUUGUUUUUAGAGCUCUGUUAAUUAUCCAUUGUGUAGAUCCAAGGGCAUCAUUGGAGACACUGUGUUUAGCACGUUGAAAAUAAGUGUUAAAAGUGCUACUCCAAAAGUCCGAUGUAAUUUGUAGUACAUCAUCCGAUGCCUGAAAAAUAUUAAAGUUGGUUAAUGAUGGAAAAAGCACUCGUAGUCCUUUGUGCCAGGAAGUAACAAAAAUCAUGUACCUAGAAAUACAACAUAAAAUAUGCUACGACAACAGAGUUGGUAUUAAUAUUCCAAUGCUUAUAAUAUUGGUGGAUAAUCGCCACAUGGUGUAACAAGUGUUGCAGCAACAACAAAUAAUACAUAUUCAAAUUCACAACAAAAGUCAAAAUCGCACAACGCAACCAGCAAAUAACAAGGCAUCGGAUGAUGUUCAACAAAUUACAUCGGACUUUUGGAGUAGCAGUUUCACUACUUAUUUUCGACGUGCUAAACACAGAGUCUCCUAUAUUUCCCUAGAUCUACACAAUGGAUAGUUAAUAUAAUAACAGAGAUCGAAAAAACAGAAAACGCAAAUGUUGUUUAUCCUGCUUCUGAUUUGACUAUGCUGAACUUACAAUUUAUCAUUUUCAAUAUUGCGAUUGUUAAUUUAUAAAUUUUGAACGUAAGCAAUAGCACUCAAUUUAUUAAUAUAAAUGUAAAAUAUUGUUAAAUUAGAAUCUAUAUACAAAUGAAUGUACGAAUAUAUUUAACAAUUGUAAUAAUAGUGAAAUUUAAUUUGUAUUGUAUAACAACACAAAAAAACAAUAAUUAAAACUUUUGAGAAAUUGUAAAUUAUAAAAAUUUAAUAAUUAAUACUAACUUUAUAUGUAAAAUAUUGUAACGAAAAUGGCACCAGAACAAACUAGAAUUGACUAUCGAAAUCGAUAACUUGCCAGAUGUAUCUAGACAUCGAUACUCGUAGUUGCCAGAAUGUUCGAGUGGCGAUGUAUCGCUAACAAUCGACUAUAUAAGGGCUGCCGGGCUGGCAGCAAGACACAGUUCUGAUAAGAGAGUUGUCGAGUGAGGACAAUUCUAAGGAGAGAGUUGUCGAGCAAAGUGUAAACAAGUUAUAAGUUAGAGUUGUAAAGUAGAGUAUUGAGUACUAAAGUGUUAAGUUAUAAGGAAUUAGAAAUAAAGAUUAGUAUAUAGCCAUUAAAGUGUGACUUUUAUUUGACAAUCCAGUGAUCGAACUCAGGGUAGAGUUUCAGCGUUAACAACAGAUUUUGGAAAUCCGUUACAAUAUGUAAAUUUUGUCAAUGUAUAAAUGAUAGCCGCAAAAACGUUUGUAAAAAUGAAAGUUUACUUUCUACUGAAAUGCUAAUAUUUAAAAAUUAUUCUAUAAUAAUUAUUAAACCUGUGAAAUACCAUACUAAUUUAUAAAUGUAAAUACCUCAUACAAUUAAAUAAAUAAAAAUAAAACAUCGAAUGAGGACCAAUGAAGCAAAUUUAAGUAACGAAACGGUGACCCAACAAAUGACCAAUACCUAUGAUUAAAGGGUUACCCUGAAAAUGAUAAAUCUAACAGUCUCCACUGAUAGAUGGCUAAUUAAAUAAAAAAACUACUACAGGGCGCUCUGCUAACCUCAGAGUGACAUAUGCCUUCCCAAAACAAUGGAAAAAUUAGAGCAGAAAGACAUAUGCAGGAUUUGCACCAAAAUCAAUGAGAGAGAGCGAGCAAGAUAAUGACACCGACAUGCCGUAAAAGGGAGAAAUGGUAACUUUUUUCCUGCUGCUAGAAUAAGAUAGAUCCAAAAAAUAAUACAAGCUUUCUUUAUUGGUAACCAAUACAUCAUAAGAUAAGAAGUUAAAGAUAAAGAAGUGGUAGACGUUAAAAGUAAUUUUUUUCAUUUCAGGCAGGCAUUGAUAAAAUUCAAGUUACAGAUGAGAUUGCAGCUACUGAAGAUGAAAACUAUGCAUGGUGCAAACGUGAUAACGAAUACUUUCAAUGCGAUAAUGAACUUAUAUUCUUUAGAAUAAUGUCCGACGAGGAUAAAGUUGCAGACAUAUUGGCAGUCAAUGAAAAUUAACUGAAGAUGAAAUAGCCCUCAACGAAAGAGGUCUUGCUAAGCUUAGAUUCGCUGCGUGACUAUUUUUUUCAUAACAAUUUAGAUGGUUUAGAAGCUUUUGAAAACAUUGAAGAUUUAAGUGCUGAACACAAAGACGACGACACAACACGACGUAGCGACGGCUGAUUACAAAUGUCGUUUUGAAGCCGGCGUCUUGAACAGUUUGAAGACGGCAGCGACAUAUCAAACAGCAAUUUCAUUGUUGCCGUCCUAAAACCUUUCACUUCAAUAAAAUUUACAUAUUUAGUUUAAAGUGAAAUUAUUUCUGCAAAAAAUGUAAAAAUAGAUCGAUUUAUUUGAUUUAAAUAAUCGAUUGUUAUUAUAACUCAUAUAUAAAAGAUAGUUUACGCUUUUGCUAGCAAAAUAACGUCAUACUUUUUAGGACUUUGAAUAAUUUUACAUUUCGCAUAUUAGUGGCAGCUCUACAGCGGCCAUUGUCGCCGGAAAAAUUAGAAACAUUUCUAAUUUGGCGACAGCGAAGACUUCAACCAUUUUGUCGCGAAGUCGUGCUGUUUUCUAAAAAACUGUGCCCAUAAGAACGUGUGUAUUUUAAUAUUUUACAGAUGUCGCUCGGCGCUUGUCGUCGUCUAUGUGUUCAGCACUUUAAUCCUAGAAAAUUCGGAAAAGCAGAAGUGUCAAAAGAAAAUAACAGAUGUUUUUAGGUAACUUUUGACAAUUUACAAAUGAAAUGAAUGAAUUCAAUAAUACAUCAAUACGAUAUGUCUCCGAAGUGAAAUGUUAUUUUUAGUUGCUUCAUGUAUGCAAACAUUUUUUUUACAUUAUAACAAUUGCAAAUAAACGAUAUCUACUGUAUUUACUAAUAGCUGUAGUAUUAAGUACGAAAAGCUCUUGUACUGUUAGUAUUGUAAUAAUAACAACCAUGAAACUCACAAGUGCCCGUACAUUAAAAAAAAGAAAACAAAUUAAAGAAAACAAUAUUAAUUAUUAUAUAGUGGAACUUCCAUAACUCGAACUUCUAUAAGUCGAAGAUCUUCAUAACUCGAAAUUUUGAAUUGGCAAGACUGUUUAGAAAUCAAAUUUCAUACACAUUUGCUUUCAUAACUCAAACUUCUAUACCUCGAAGUUCUCCAUUACUCGAACUUGGCAAUAGAAGUCAAAUUUCAUACAAAUUUCCUUCCAUAAACCGAGCUUUUUGACCAGGGCAUAAUACAAAAAUUCAAAUUUUACUAUCAAGGAACAAUUUUAAAGGAGUCCCUAUAUUCGUAUGGAGGCGAACAAAAAAUAUGAUAUUACACUUAUAGAUUUCACAAAUCGUGUAACAAAGGCAUGGGAGACAGACGUCAAGAGCCAAACAGUGGUUCCGCUUGUAUGAAGCCAAGGCCAUAAAUACUUCUCUUUGAGAUAUCGUUAUGAAAUUCUCACCAAAAAUCUAGAAAAAUAUUCUAAAUAUGUUAUACAAAAAUUAGCCACAUCGAGCGACUAUGUCCUAUAGCUCCCAUAGGAACGAUCGGGACAAGUUAUAAUAAUUUUGUUAUUUUCGGUUUUAAACAUUGUCAAUUUAUUGUAAUAACAGAGAUAUUAAUAUAGGGAGGGAAAAAAGGCGAGGUUCACACCCGCCCGCCCACUUCUUUACAUAUAUACAUAUACAGAUUCUUAAUAAGACAUUUUUAUACAUGCAUAUAUAUACAGAUUGGUAAUAAGACAUUAUAAUCAGAUAUUUAACAAAAAUUUUGCUAUG